AAUGUAUGACGCUGUUGACUUUUUAUCCAACGUUUGAUCAUUCGUCUUAUUUAAAAAAUUUAUGUAAUUAUCAUUUAUUUUAUUAUGAGUUGAUUCGUCAUCAAAUGUUCUUUAAGUAUGACAUAAAUAUUUUUAUAUUUACACAAAAUUUUUAAAUAAAACGAAUGGUCAAACGUUGAUCGAAAAGUCAACGACGCCAUCCAU
rnacentral:pre_miRNA from 1 species